rnacentral:rRNA from 1 species
AGCCUAAAGAAUCAAAAUUUUAGGUAACCCCUGCCCAGCGAUAUAUAAGUUUAGCGGCCGCAGUACUUUGACUGUGCUAAGGUAGCAUAAUAACUUGUCCUUUAAUUGAGGUCUUGAAUGAACGGGUUUACGAAAAAUGUUCUGUCUCCUGUACAAAUUUUACUGAACUUACUUAAGAGGUGAAAAUUCCUUUAGUAAUGAAAAAAGACGAGAAGACCCUUAGAAUUUUAAUAAAAACUGUCAUUGCGUGGUGGUUUAGUUUUCGUUGGGGCGACGAGGUAGCAAUCAAAUAACCUACCUAUUAAUAUUUAAUACACCGAAAUCUAUUAAAUAUAAUUAAAUUACCUAAGGGAUAACAGCAUAAUACUAAGUAGUGUUUGUGACCUCGAUGUUGGACUAGGGACUAAUUGGUUAACCACCAGGAUAGAUGAUUCUGUUCGAAUCCUUCACCCU